AGCGAACGCUGGCGGCAGGCCUAACGCAUGCAAGUCGAACGGAUCCUUCGGGAUUAGUGGCGGACGGGUGAGUAACACGUGGGAACGUGCCCUUUGGUUCGGAACAACUCAGGGAAACUUGAGCUAAUACCGGAUGUGCCCUUCGGGGGAAAGAUUUAUCGCCAUUGGAGCGGCCCGCGUCUGAUUAGCUAGUUGGUGAGGUAAAGGCUCACCAAGGCGACGAUCAGUAGCUGGUCUGAGAGGAUGAUCAGCCACAUUGGGACUGAGACACGGCCCAAACUCCUACGGGAGGCAGCAGUGGGGAAUCUUGCGCAAUGGGCGAAAGCCUGACGCAGCCAUGCCGCGUGAAUGAUGAAGGUCUUAGGAUUAUAAAAUUCUUUCACCGGGGACGAUAAUGACGGUACCCGGAGAAGAAGCCCCGGCUAACUUCGUGCCAGCCGCCGCGGUAAGAC
rnacentral:rRNA from 1 species